AUCCUUUUGUAGUUCAUAGGUGUGAUGAUUGGGUUUUCACAAUCAUAUGAGAGAUGUGCCUUUCUUAAACCUUGUUACCCCCAUGUUGACACAUUACCUGUCUGGUG